GUGCGAUCCCACCGUGCAUCUUGGACAACACCAGUCAAGCUGGUUUCAUUACGAUACGAAAACCGGCACUUGUCGGACAGGUGCAUGGAAUCAAAACUGCAACGGAUUUGAAACAGAAUGGGCGUGCAAGACAUAUUGUGAAGAUUGAAGCGAAAGCAUUGAGCAGUGCUGUAUCUCUGGUGACCACUAGAAUAUGCGACAGGUUGUAACGUGGUUGUGGCUUCCACAAGAUUGCCAAGUUUCAUUAAAAGGUUCCUCUAUGC